CGCCUGGGGAGUGCGGCCGCAAGGUUAAAACUCAAAUGAAUUGACGGGGGCCCGCACAAGCGGUGGAGCAUGUGGUUUAAUUCGACGCAACGCGAGGAACCUUACCUGGCCUUGACAUCCAGAGAGCUUUCCAGAGAUGGAUUGGUGCCUUCGGGAACUCUGAGACAGGUGCUGCAUGGCCGUCGUCAGCUCGUGUCGUGAGAUGUUGGGUUAAGUCCCGUAACGAGCGCAACCCCUAUCCCUGGUUGCUAGCAGGUAAUGCUGAGAACUCCAGGGAGACUGCCGGUGACAAACCGGAGGAAGGUGGGGAUGACGUCAGGUCAUCAUGGCCCUUGCGGCCAGGGCUACACACGUGCUACAAUGGCGCGUACAGAGGGCUGCCAACUCGCGAGAGUGAGCCAAUCCCUUAAAACGCGUCGUAGUCCGGAUCGGAGUCUGCAACUCGACUCCGUGAAGUCGGAAUCGCUAGUAAUCGCGAAUCAGAAUGUCGCGGUGAAUACGUUCCCGGGCCUUGUACACACCGCCCGUCACACCAUGGGAGUGGAUUGCACCAGAAGUAGUUAGUCUAACCUUCGGGAGGACGAUUACCACGGUGUGGUUCAUGACUGGGGUGAAGUCGUAACAAGGUAACCGUA
rnacentral:rRNA from 1 species